rnacentral:rRNA from 1 species
AUGGAUAGGGGUUCUGAGAGGAAGGUCCCCCACAUUGGUACUGAGACACGGACCAAACUCCUACGGGAGGCAGCAGUGAGGAAUAUGGGUCAAUUGGCGUAAGCCUGAACCAGCCAAGUCGCGUGAGGGAUGAAGGUUCUAUGGAUCGUAAACCUCUUUUAUAAGGGAAUAAAGUGCGGGACGUGUCCCGUUUUGUAUGUACCUUAUGAAUAAGGAUCGGCUAACUCCGUGCCAGCAGCCGCGGUAAUACGGAGGAUUCGAGCGUUAUCCGGAUUUAUUGGGUUUAAAGGGUGCGUAGGCGGCCUUUUAAGUCAGCGGUGAAAGUCUGUGGCUCAACCAUAGAAUUGCCGUUGAAACUGGGGGGCUUGAGUAUGUUUGAGGCAGGCGGAAUGCGUGGUGUAGCGGUGAAAUGCUUAGAUAUCACGCAGAACCCCGAUUGCGAAGGCAGCCUGCCAAGCCAUGACUGACGCUGAUGCACGAAAGCGUGGGGAUCAAACAGGAUUAGAUACCCUGGUAGUCCACGCAGUAAACGAUGAUCACUAGCUGUUUGCGAUACAGUGUAAGCGGCACAGCGAAAGCGUUAAGUGAUCCACCUGGGGAGUAC